AGUGUCACCUACAUGCUGGGAUGUCACCUGCUAUAUGAAAAGCCACACAGCCCUUCUGUGCCAGCAGCCUCAGUGCUGGCACCAGAAAAGGGAAGGGGUCUGGAGUAGAGGAAGGCAUUUUAGGGGCCAAA